ensembl:lncRNA
CUGAACCAAAGUUUGGGAAAGGGCUUUCCAACUAAUUUGGUACGAAAACCAGCUAACACUUACAGAAUCCUGAUUGGGCCGAUUGGGUGAAUAAAACUGCACCGGGAAGCAACUUUUCGUCUACCGGGCAUUGCGGCAUUUUGGAAACCUUUUAUAAACCACUCCAGUUGAUAAACGUCUCUCUGUCCCUAUCUCCCUUUGUGUUUCUGUCCUCAGACUCUGUGACAGCUUUCCUGAACCCUGGAGGUGUGAGGAAGGAGAGACAGAAAAAAUGAAAAAUAGUCAGAGAAACAGUCCCUGAAGGUUCAGGAGAGAGAAUGAAAGAGUGAGAGGAAAACAAAAGGGGUCUGACACCAAAACCGGGCGGUGGAGAGAACCAGAGCCACAAAAAAAAACAGUGCGAGAAAGAGAGAAGAACGAGGGAUCAACUCUGAUGUACUGCCACCACCUGCUCUGAAGGUUAUUAACAAUGAAUUUGGAUCUGACCUCAGAUCUGUGACUGUUGCAAGCCGCUUAAGAAUAGUAAUGUGCCAACUACGCAGGGGCUGCAGUGGGAUCAGUUUGACUGUGAAACCCAGAGGGCAACAUGAACCUGACCGAGUCCAGGUCGUCACUGUCUGGUCACCUCGGACGCGCCG